GACACCAUAGCCCAGUGGUACAGCCCCAGACGUUUGAGUAAAAUCAAAUUGCCGGAGGCUGGGAGUUCGAACCUCCUUGGUGACA